rnacentral:rRNA from 1 species
GGGGAAUUGUUCGCAAUGGGCGCAAGCCUGACGACGCAACGCCGCGUGGAGGAUGAAGAUCUUCGGGUCGUAAACUCCUUUCGAUCGAGACGCACAGCCUUCGGGUAAACAAUCCGGAGGUCUGACGGUACCGAGAGAAGAAGCCCCGGCUAACUCCGUGCCAGCAGCCGCGGUAAUACGGGGGGGGCAAGCGUUGUUCGGAAUUACUGGGCGUAAAGGGCUCGUAGGCGGCCAACUAAGUCAGACGUGAAAUCCCUCGGCUCAACCGGGGAACUGCGUCUGAUACUGGGUGGCUUGAAUCCGGGAGAGGGAUGCGGAAUUCCAGGUGUAGCGGUGAAAUGCGUAGAUAUCUGGAGGAACACCGGUGGCGAAGGCGGCAUCCUGGACCGGUAUUGACGCUGAGGCGCGAAAGCCAGGGGAGCAAAC